rnacentral:rRNA from 1 species
CAAUAGCGUAUAUUAAAGUUGUUGCGGUUAAAAAGCUCGUAGUUGGAUUUCUGCUGAAGGCAGCCGGUCCAUGUUCGACAUGCGCAUCUGGAUUGACUUCGGCAUCCUCUCAGAUAACGAUUCUGUGCUUGAUUGCAUGGAGCGGAGUUUGAGACUUUUACUUUGAGGAAAAUAGAGUGUUCACGGCAGGCAAUCGCCCUGAAUAUAUUAGCAUGGAAUAAUAAAAUAGGAUCUUGGUUCUAUUUUGUUGGUUUCUAGAACGAAGAUAAUGAUUAAUAGGGACAAUUGGGGGCAUUCGUAUUAACGCGUCAGAGGUGGAAUUCUUGGAUUGCGUUACGACGAACUACUGCGAAAGCACUUGCCAAGGAUGUUUUCAUUGA